rnacentral:snRNA from 1 species
AUACUUACCUCGAGACGUCAUCGGAGAUCAAGAAGUCCUGAUGGCCAGUUCCAGUGAUUUACAUUGCACAGCGUUGUCACUUGGGGAUGCCAGCUUUCCUUCGGGAAAGUGUGGGUCUCAUAAUUUUUGAUUUAU